UAAUACGUAGGUGGCAAACGUUGUCCGGAUUCACUGGGCGUAAAGCGCGCGCAGGCGGGCUGAUCAGUCUGGGGUGAAAUCUCUCGGCUCAACCGGGAGAGGCCCUCAGAUACUGUCAGCCUUGAGGUGCCUAGAGGAGAGUGGAAUUCAGGGUGUAGUGGUGGAAUGCGUAGAUAUCCUGAGGAACACCAGUGGCGAAGGCGACUCUCUGGGGGCAUUCUGACGCUGAGGCGCGAAAGCGUGGGGAGCGAACCGGAUUAGAUACCCGGGUAGUCCACGCCGUAAACGAUGAGUACUAGUUGUUCGUGGUAUCGACGCCUCGAGUAACGAAGCUAACGCGUUAAGUACUCCGCCUGGGGACUACGACCGCAAGGUUA
rnacentral:rRNA from 1 species